rnacentral:rRNA from 1 species
GGGCCGCGGGAAUUCGAUUCAGGCCUAACACAUGCAAGUCGAGCGGGGGAGAUUGCUUCGGUAAUUGACCUAGCGGAGAACGGGUGAGUAAUACUUAGGAAUCUGCCUAUUAAUGGGGGACAACAUCUCGAAAGGGAUGGUAAUACCGCAUACGCCCUACGGGGGAAAGCAGGGGAUCACGUGUGACCGUGCGUUAAUAGAUGAGCCUAAGUCGGGUUAGCUAGUUGGUGGGGUAAAGGCCUACCAAGGCGACGAUCUCUAGCGGGUCUGAGA